CAUGACUCUGGCAGUAUUACGUCCACCAAACUCAUUUGGUGGGCUAACAUAAGAGGAGACCACACCAAGAUUGCCUCACUUGUAACAAACUGAGACUCAAUUUAUUGAUUAUACAGUCCAAAAUAAUCAAUAAAUUAUCAGAAAUAAAAUCUGAAAAGGAAUAUCUGAAGAUAAUAUCUAAAAUAAGAAACUGAAGCCAGGUUAAUUAAAAACUCGUGACUAACCAAAGUAAACCAUACAAUACAAUCCAAACCAAGUGAGGAUCUUAGGAGGGAGAAAGAGAAUGCUGCAUGUGUGGCAGCAGGCAGCAAUCAAGCCAACCCAACCACAAACACCUGCAGAAGAUCUCACUCCAAAGCCUUGGGGGAAAAGCAGCAGAGAGAAACUGGAGGCCUUACCAGGCAGAAAUUCAAUCCAACCUCAUUGACAUAAAACAGUUUUCUCUUGUGAAAACACACACACACUCGCACAGUGUCAAACAUUGGGGUCCAAAAUCCUACCCAUGCAGUGCAGCAAGGCAGCAACCCGCCAAGCAGUGAUGGAAGACCUUGGGUGUUAGCCUUGGCGUCAGCAGGAGAAAUGUGGCCUAGGAGCAGUAUCUCGGGGACCACCGCCCUAGGAACUUAAAAGUGCACCUGUAAUUUGUGAUGGAAACUUCUUCUCAAGGAAGUGAGCAACUACGGUGGCUUGGCAGUAACACACCAGACAUUAGAGUCCGGUCACGUCUUCAUCCAAACCUCCACACAAAAGAAAUGAUCUUUCUUCCAGAUGUAGAGCAACAAUGAAAAGCCCAACACCAGAUAAGGGUCAAAGAAAGGGAGGUCUCAUUGAUCAAUUCCAGACUAGAAGUGGCUGCCUGGUCUGGGGAGCAUCUCAUUAUCUGUGAUGCAAAACAGCUGAAGACACAGCACACUCUCACCUUUAGGGUCAACGUGGUAAAUGACCAUGAAAGCCCCUGAAAACAGCUGAUGUGCACAUAGUCAAUAGUGAUAUUAUGCUUGACUAGUAUGCAGGGCCUUGGAAAAAUAUUUACAUUUUGUCACGUUCCAACCACAAACUUUGCUUCGUCACAGCUUCUGUGAGAACAAAAGGUACUUUAAAAUAGGUAGUUAAAAAAAGAAAUUUAAAUGUUUUUGGGAAUCAAAGUCUAAAGAUUUUGGUAAUGGCAUUUGUACUCUUGCUCUGAUAAUUGUAAAUAAAAUUCAGGACAAAUUUCUAAAA